AUCACUGGCACGUGCAUGUUGUUAAUUUUGCAGCUGGAAGAGUUGAGAUACUUUCGUCAUUGCCCCUAAGGCGGGGCAACAACAUUAGUGCUGCAACGCGACGAUUAUCAAUGGCACUCCACAAAGCACUACAUGCAUAUAGAAUCCAUAUGGAUGCAGAUGUCUCAAGUUUUGAGCAUGUCCAACCACACCUUCUCCAACAGCUGAAUGGGUAAAGUAUUCAGAUAUUCCAAUGAAAACAAACAUUUCUAAAUAAUUUGAUUUAUCAGAUUUCUAUCAUCUAACACAUUUCUGAUGUGUUAUAGGUCCGAUUGUGGUGUCCUCGUUCUAAAGUUCAUGGAAUUUUGGAAUGGGGCGACCUUAACUACUUCAGUGGCAGAGGACAAGAUGAACAUGUACAGACUCCAGCUAGUGCUGCAACUAGUGCUCAAUGAACGCAACAGUUUCAGAGAUACAAUUAUGGUCGCAUGUCAUUUGUGACUUCAUAGUUCAUGAUAAGUUUCUUCCUAUCUGCUGCUACGUACCAAAAUGACCAAGGGUUGAUUGUAGUUUGUCCAAAA